GAUGAACGCUGGCGGCGUGCUUAACACAUGCAAGUCGAACGAAGCUGUUAAAAGGAAGUCUUCGGAUGAAAUUUUAACAGACUUAGUGGCGGACGGGUGAGUAACGCGUGGAUAACCUGCCUUAUACAGGGGGAUAACGGAGAGAAAUUUCCGCUAAGACCGCAUAAGACCACAGCACCGCAUGGUGCAGGGGUAAAAUAUUAAUAGGUAUAAGAUGGAUCCGCGUCCGAUUAGCUUGUUGGUGAGGUAGAGGCUCACCAAGGCGACGAUCGGUAGCCGGCCUGAGAGGGUGAACGGCCACAUUGGGACUGAGACACGGCCCAAACUCCUACGGGAGGCAGCAGUGGGGAAUAUUGGACAAUGGGGGAAACCCUGAUCCAGCGACGCCGCGUGAGUGAAGAAGUAUUUCGGUAUGUAAAGCUCUAUCAGCAGGGAAGAAAAUGACGGUACCUGACUAAGAAGCCCCGGCUAUCGUCUU
rnacentral:rRNA from 1 species